rnacentral:lncRNA from 1 species
AUUUUUGCACAGUGCUGAGCAAGGAGAGAGGGCGGCUAACGCUGAAAUCCCAAACUCCCUGAAAAGCUAAAAAGAAGGGUUUUUAUUUGGGGCUUUAGGUAGUGGAGGGGGAGCAUAUGGCCUUGCUGGUCGGAGCUUUCCCACCAGCCUGUCUUUGGCCUUGAGACACUUGCAGAGAGGAGGAAGCCCGUGACCUUGCUGGUCGGAGCUUUCCCACCAGCCUGUCUUUGGCCUUGAGACACUUGCAGAGAGGAGGAAGCCCAUGACCUUGCUGGUCAGCAGCUUUCCCACCAGCCUGUAUCUCUGUGGGAGGAGAUAGUCCAGGUGCUUGUCCUUGACGGUGUCUGUCUCCAUGGAGGAUAAUGGAUUCUGGAGCCCGGAAGCCAGAGAUGAAUGAGGAGGAAUCAGAAAACAGUGAUGGUUAUCAGACUGCAACGUCGCCCCGUUCAGUUGUCUCUUCCAUGUUGGAGCAAAUUGUUUACUUCACAGGAGAUCGCCAACACCAAGAGCAGAAACUGAAAUCCCGCCUCGUCUCAGAUCCGCUCAAUAGAAGCAAAGUAGGAACAUGGAGGGAAUCUGUGUUUCCCAAAUGGAAGGAAACAUCCUUAACUUCCCCCCACACUACCCCAAAGUGGAAAAUAACACUUACAUGGUGCUCAGCCUUCUCAGGAGUCCCUCUCCUGGUAUGACCAGCAGUCAUUUUGAAAGCUGGAAGAAAAUAAACCGCUAUCAGGCUUAAAGCUCCAAGUAACCAUGGUGACCAGCUCAUCCAGCCUCAGCUUCACCUGGUAAUAGGUAGAAGAGAAGUUGGUAGAAUCUUAUUGUCAUAAGUGAAAAGAGUUUGUGUUGCAGAAAUAUUUUCUUACCACAUAGGCCAAAAUUGGACGGCUACCAGUGUGUCUUCUUGAUCCCACUCCUUCCUUCAUUCAUUCAACCCAGAGUUACUGGCACUUUCCAGGGUUACAGCAGAGAAUCUGACAAACCCCUGCUCUCAGUGGUUGGCAGACAGCAAAGUAGGAAUAAAUAUACAAUGUAAUCUCAGGUUCUGGUGCGGGCAUCUGGUUACUGUGAAUUCUCUGCAGUAUACAAUGUGUACAACUGUCUGCAUAGCCCUGUCUUUGUCAUUGUCGAAACCAUUUUCUGGUAACAAAGCCUCUGUGCCUUUUCUUGUCCCAAAGAGGUGGGGGCAGGGAGGGAGGUGAAGAGGGAGCACAUUUCGGCUGACAUCUGCCCUUCGUUGACGUCCGUCCAUUUCCUCUUUGAAAUUCUCCUUCACCAGAACAGGUUGUUUUAGAGGGUGUUGCUGGUGCCCUGUCAUCACCCCAGGCAUUUGUCCAGUGUUACGGUUAACCUGUUUUCAGAAAGAUUGAAUAGUGUAUUAAAAUGGCUUUUAUAGUAAGUACAUAAUUCACGUGUAAAAUCUGAACUUGGAAUCCUUUUGCCACUCUCUUGC